GAUGAACGCUGCGGCGUGCCUCAUACAUGCAAGUCGAGCGAACGGACGAGAAGCUUGCUUCUCUGAUGUUAGCGGCGGACGGGUGAGUAACACGUGGAUAACCUACCUAUAAGACUGGGAUAACUUCGGGAAACCGGAGCUAAUACCGGAUGAUAUUUUGAACCGCAUGGUUCAAAAGUGAAAGACGGUCUUGCUGUCACUUAUAGAUGGAUCCGCGCUGCAUUAGCUAGUUGGUAAGGUAACGGCUUACCAAGGCAACGAUGCAUAGCCGACCUGAGAGGGUGAUCGGCCACACUGGAACUGAGACACGGUCCAGACUCCUACGGGAGGCAGCAGUAGGGAAUCUUCCGCAAUGGGCGAAAGCCUGACGGAGCAACGCCGCGUGAGUGAUGAAGGUCUUCGGAUCGUAAAACUCUGUUAUUAGGGAAGAACAUAUGUGUAAGUAACUGUGCACAUCUUGACGGUACCUAAUCAGAAAGCCACGGCUAACUACGUG
rnacentral:rRNA from 1 species